rnacentral:pre_miRNA from 1 species
UUUAUGCGGCAGCAUAGGACUGAAUUGUGGGAGGACAUAUAUGGUUCUACCCCUUUUCAUUUUUAUGCUGCUUUGGAG